AUGACUUUUAUUGUGAGCUUUGUGUGGAUAUUGAUGUCUUUAAGGUAUGAUUUACAUUCUGCUGAAUCCAGAGGACAGGUCACUGUCACUCAGACUCCUGCAGUGAAAGCUGUUCUCCCAGGACAGGCAGUCUCUCUGAACUGUAAAACCAGCAGUAAUGUGUAUGGUGUAGGGACCUCUUCUCCCCGUCUAGCCUGGUACCAACAGAAACCUGGAGGAGCUCCUAAACUCCUUAUUUACUAUGCUACAACACUUCAGUCUGGGACUCCAUCUAGAUUCAGUGGUAGUGGAACUCAUAGUGACUUCACUCUGACCAUCAGUGGAGUCCUGGCUGAAGAUGCCGGAGAUUACUACUGUCAGAGUUACCAUUACAUCAAUAGUAAAAAUGUGUUCACACAGUGAUACAGAGCUGUACAAAAACCUCCCUCAGUCAGACUGCACAGUGACUGUACUGCUACAGCUGCGACCUACUGCAGGUGCUGAGGGGAAAGAGACAGUGACAUGGAAGAUUGACUGAACUAAAAUAUACUGAGAUAAAUAUAUCAGUGAUGAUGACUAUAAUGUCAACUUAUCCAACUUUAUGUUCAAAUAUUCUUGAACAGACAACACUCAUAGGUCCAGACUGCAUAAAUAUGCCUUCCCUUUUGCUAUGUCAAACCAACCUUUAAUUAACAUUUCAGACAAUAAGUUGAAUGGAUUCCAUCGAUGUGAAAUAAUGUCUCACAUUAUUUCAGAAUAAAUAUCCCAGUCUCUGCAAGGUCCCCCAGUCAGGUAAUGAGUUUCAAGCAAAGAUUCAACCAUAUUUACUGAGAUGAUAUAACAUGAUCAUAACCCAUCAAAACAACCUGAGGUUCUGUCAUAGAAGACACAGUGACAUGGAACACUGGUGUAGUGAAGUCAACUUUGAAUAUGUUUAGAAAGCAUCAUUCAGAUCACAUGUUCCCCAUCAUCAUCCUCAUCAUUAUUGUGCACCUACAAUAGUUAUUUGAAGUAUUAAAAUUCCCACAAUACCAGUCCAAUAUGCAUAAUAAGAUGUUCAGAAGUAAAGAAAAAGGUUAUGUUACAUCAGCAUCAGCCCCCCUAGAUACAAUCUCCAUAUACACCUCACAACCAGAUAUUGAUGUGAUCAUCUAGCAUUAUAUUAACUAUUUUGAUGAGCAGGUUAUUGACUGUUAUAUCUGUGGAUAAGACAUGAUGCUGGGUUCAGGCAUUAGAUAUAUCUACAUAAUGUAUAAUAUACAUUUUAUCUGUCAUAGAUUACAUGUUGGAAUAU